rnacentral:lncRNA from 1 species
AAAAGUAUGAAUAUAAACAAAAACUUUAUAAUUGUUUAAGUGAUUAUAUCAAUCAAAAUCCAAAGGAAUAUUGGAAAAUUUUAAAAUCUCUUAAGAAUAAAACAGAAAAAGAUGAAAUACCAGAGGUAUUAAAAGAUGAAGAAGUUUUAAUAAAACAUUUUCAAGAUCAAGGUAAACCUUCAUCUAUAAAUAAUGCUUUUAUGAUAGACAUUGAAUCACAAUUAAAGCUAUUAGAAAAUAAUAUAGAUUUCAAAGCUGAAACAGAUGCUCCAAUAUCUUGUUCAGAAGUAAAUAAGGUAAUCAGAGGACUAAAACUUCAAAAGUCUGCUGGACCAGAUAGAAUUAUAAAUGAAAUAAUUAAA